GGGUAGAGUAAUCUUGGUUGUAGGUCCUUGUUCAUGACUUUGAAUAUUUCUUGCCAGUCCCUUCUGGCCCGCAAAGUUUCUGUUGAGAAAUCAGCUGACAGUCUGAUGGGAGCUGCCUUCUCUGGUAACUAACUGUUUUUCUCUUACUGCUUUUAAGAUUCUCUCUUUGUCUUUAACCCUUGGCAUUUUAAUUAUGAUGUGUCUUGGUGUCAGCCUCUUCGGGUUCCUCUUGUUUGGGACUCUCUGUACUUCUUAGACUUGUACGUCUGUUCCCUUCACCAAGUUAGGAAAGUUUUCUGUUUGUUUUCUCAAGUAGGUUUUCAAUUUCUUGCUCUCUCUCCUCUCCUUCUUGUACCCCAUGAUGUGAAUGCUGGUGCACUUGAAGUUGUCCCAGAAGUUCCUUACGCUAUCCUCAUUUUUCGUUUAUUCUUUUUCCUUUUUGUUGUUCUGAUUUGGUGUUUUUUGUUCCCUUAUAUUCCAAAUCAUUAAUUCUCAACUUCAUCUACUCUGCUGUUGAUUCCCUGUAAAUUAUUCUUCAUUUCAGUUAGUGUAUCUUUCACUUCUGACUGGUCCUUUUUUAUGCUGUUGAAAUUUCCACUAAGUUCAUUGAGUAUCCUUAAAUCAGUGUUCUGAACUCUACAUCUAGUAGAUUGCUUGUUUCAAUUUUGUUUAGUUCUUUUUCUGGAGUUCUGUCUGUCUUUCAUUUGUGACAUGUUUUUUGUCUCCUCAUUUUGGCAGCCUCCCUGUGUUUGUUUCUAUGUAUUAGGUAGAGCUGCUGCGUUUCCCAGGCUUGGUGGAGUGGCCUGAUGUAAUAGGUGUCCUGCAGGGUCCAGUGGCACAGCCUUUCCUUUCACCCAAACUGGGUACUCCAGGUGUGCCCCCUCACCUGCCAGCCCCUGUGUGGGCUGUGUACAGCUUCCUCCUGUAGUUGAGCUUUGAUUGCUGUUGGCACAUCAAUGGAAUGAAUUUACCCGCAGGCUGACCAGCUUCAAGGACUGGCUAUGACCAUCGAUCACCAAUCUCUGACCACCCUAGAGGAUCAACUGUGCAGGGACCCCCCACACACACACAUAGCAGGACUUACUUCAGCAGGACUCUGGUGCCCCCUUAGUCCACUCCUUAAGUAUGUUGCUUGUGGAGGUGGUUGGGUGCAUUGAUGUGCUCUGAAGCUGUCCACUGGGUGUGCUGGCUCUGGGGCCUCCUGGGAAGUGCAGGCCAAGGUCAGCCAUUGCCUAUGUUCCACCCAGGGCCACUCGCCAUGAGCUACAAAGCAAUCUGCAGAUGGCUGCUGCUUAUCCUGGACCUGGAGGUACCCAGAAGAGGCCAAGCUGUGAACCAAGGCUGACUGCUGCUAGUACUGGGCCUGGGACCACAUAAUGAGAGGCAGUAUGUGCUAGCGUGGAGAAGUUGGAAAGCCCAGGAAAUGCAGAGGAAUUGCAUCUGAGUCUGGCACCAGAGCAACAGGUCAAACCCUCGGAUCCGACAGCAAAUGUAAAGAACAAGAUCCGGGAUCAGCAAGGAAGGCCUCCUGGUGACGCCGGGAAGACGGACGGACGGACUUGCCUGCCUGCAGCGUUCAGAAGGAGCCCACUUGUCACUGUGCUGAGACUUCGGGGUGCUGAGGAAGGGGGAAGUCUUACCCCACGACGCGGAGGAGAAAGGAAGGUAAGCUGGCUGCCCUGACAUACUGCACGGGGGCGAGAAUGGCAGAAUCCGUCGCCUUCGCUGCGAGUUUGGUCUUUUUUUUCCUUGUUUGUUUUUUGAGGAGUUUGGGCUGUUGUUGUUUUUUUCAUUUACUUUUGUUGAUUUCAGAGAA